rnacentral:rRNA from 1 species
GAUGAACGCUGGCGGUAUGCCUUACACAUGCAAGUCGAACGAAAAUUAGCUUCGGUUAAUUUUAGUGGCGGACGGGUGAGUAACACGUGAGAAUUUGCCUUUAGGAGGGGGAUAACUAGUGGAAACACUAGCUAAAACCCCAUAUGCCCACGGGUGAAACAGAGGAAUAAGGUUAAACCAUAACUCCUCUGCCUGAAGAGAAGCUCGCGGCUGAUUAGCUAGUUGGUAGGGUAAUGGCCUACCAAGGCGACGAUCAGUAGCUGGUCUGAGAGGACGAUCAGCCACACUGGAACUGAGACACGGUCCAGACUCCUACGGGAGGCAGCAGUGAGGAAUUUUCUGCAAUGGGCGAAAGCCUGACAGAGCAAUACCGCGUGAGGGAAGAAGGCUUACUGAGUUGUAAACCUCGGUGCCUUAAGGAAGAAGAUCUGACGGUACUUAAGGUGGAAAGCAUCGGCUAACCCCGUGCCAGCAGCCGCCGUAAAAC